rnacentral:rRNA from 1 species
AGCAAUAGUGAAGGUCAGGCUGAAGACCUUACCCGAUUAGCUGAGAGGUGGUGCAUGGCCGUCGUCAGUUCGUACUGUGAAGCAUCCUGUUAAGUCAGGCAACGAGCGAGACCCACGUCCACAGUUGCCAGCAUACCCUCCGGGGUGAUGGGUACACUGUGGAGACCGCCGCUGCUAAAGCGGAGGAAGGAGUGGGCAACGGUAGGUCAGUAUGCCCCGAAUCUCCCGGGCUACACGCGGGCUACAAUGGUUGGUACAAUGGGCAUCUACCCCGAAAGGGGAAGGAAAUCUCUUAAAGCCAAUCGUAGUUCGGAUUGAGGGCUGCAACUCGCCCUCAUGAAGCUGGAAUCCGUAGUAAUCGCGUUUCAACAGAACGCGGUGAAUACGUCCCUGCUCCUU